rnacentral:rRNA from 1 species
GCCAGACUCCUACGGGAGGCAGCAGUGAGGGAUAUUGGGCAAUGGGGGAAACCCUGACCCAGCGACGCCGCGUGAGGGAAGACGGUCUUCGGAUUGUAAACCUCUGUCUUUGGGGACGAAAAAGGACGGUACCCAAGGAGGAAGCUCCGGCUAACUACGUGCCAGCAGCCGCGGUAAUACGUAGGGAGCGAGCGUUGUUCGGAAUGACUGGGCGUAAAGGGUGCGUAGGCGGUGUAGCAAGUUAGAAGUGAAAUACCUAGAGCUUAACUCAGGUGCUGCUUCUAAAACUGCUAUACUUGAGUGCAGUAGAGGAAAGUGGAAUUCCUAGUGUAGCGGUGGAAUGCGUAGAUAUUAGGAGGAACAUCAGUGGCGAAGGCGACUUUCUGGACUGUAACUGACGCUGAGGCACGAAAGUGUGGGGAGCAAACAGGAUUAGAUACCCCGGUA